UACGUAGGGCGCAAGCGUUGUCCGGAAUUAUUGGGCGUAAAGAGCUCGUAGGCGGUCUGUUGCGUCCGCUGUGAAAACUCGAGGCUCAACCUCGAGACGUCGGUGGAAACCGUUUGGCUAGAGUCCGGAAGAGGAGAGUGGAAUUCCUGGUGUAGCGGUGAAAUGCGCAGAUAUCAGGAAGAACACCCGUGGCGAAGGCGGCUCUCUGGGACGGUACUGACGCUGAGACGCGAAAGCGUGGGGAGCGAACAGG
rnacentral:rRNA from 1 species